UAGACUGAAUACAAUGGAGGGCUGAAAAGAGAACAAGUCUCUCAGCCUAUGCAUAAAUUACACACAUCAUUUACAUAUUCAUUAUGUUUUGUGUACUAAUGAGAGUAUUUGCUUAAUGGCUCCACCACCACUGGCAGCUUUUGUUCGACACAAGAGAUUUUAAAGAGGAGAAAAAAGACAACGGACCAAGGGUCAUCUUAAAAAAAGUGGGUGAGGUCAAUGGUACACAAUCGAUUUUAGUGGUAAUCGGAUCAAUUUUAUUGAUGUAUAGUGAAUGUGUGAACAAGCACAACCUGCGCGAGGCUCUUACAGAUGUAAUGAGAAGCACACAUGAUGGGGGUUGGUAAAAGUUAAUUAAAACAACACAAUCUUUAUCCAAACUCAGGGCUCUCUCCGUCUUUCUCCUCUGGUCUCGGUGGAAUAAGUAACUGCUGCUGUAAUUACCUACAGGGCAGUCACUCAGAGCAUUCCUUCAGGUGCCAAAAAAGUCUCCCAAAUGACAACAAAGAUCGCCGAUUUGCGGCGCACAUUUAAGAAAUGAAAAGUUGUAUAUGUGUCAAUUAACUAAUGUUGUGUAAAUAUACAAACGCAGCAUUUCAUACACACAGAGAGGGUAAAUGAUUCAGAAAGUGGAUGAAUGAAAUGAGGGGAAGAGAGAGGGAUGGAAAUGUAGAGACAGGGGGAAGGGCAACGGAGGGAUGAGCUACAAAUGAGAGCGAUGGCGGUGGCAGGUUGGCACAGUGCCAUCCAGUCAGGGCUUGAGCGGGGGCGGGCAUGGGCAUGGGCGAAGGCGCGGGGAGAAUAAGAAUGGAAGAGGAAGAGAAACAGACCUCCAUACUGCUACCAUGGUGCCACCUUGGCACAGGCACAAUGGGGCGCAACGAACAGCAAAGCGGGCAGAGGAAAGGAAGAUAUAGAAAAUAUCAGAGGACAGCAGAGCAUAGAAGUGAGCAAGAUGCCAGCAGACACAGGAUGACUCAGAUGUAGCUGGACGAAGGGAAGCAGAGAAGGAUGUUGAGGAGAGAAAUGGAUGAUACUAUGAAACCCCAAUGCGUGCCAGCCAACGGGCACCAUGCCAGCCUGCAGUCGUGGCAUACCCGGAGCGAUCAAAGCGGUUGGCGGAGAACUGUCUUAGUCAAAGACAAGGGGACUCACCUCUGAGGAUUUGCUGCUAAUCGCCGUUUGUUUGCUUGGACAAAGCCAAGAAGAGGUGCCCGGGCAACGGUUGCCAGCGAUUCUGUGAUGGCAUCUUUUCAGGGCGGCAAGGGCACGGGGAGAAAGAUGGCACGCUGCCAAGCCAACAUAACACACAAAUUUGCAAACAGAAACCUCCAUACGGCGAGCAGAAGAUUUCGGAUGCCUUAAAUGUUUUGGCGAUGGCAUCCCCUCAAGGGAGAGACCAGGAGCAGAGAUGGCACCAUGCCAAACGCAAACAGGGAGGCAUUCACGGGCGCCACCAGAAGCUGCACAAAAGCGUAGUAAAUGCGGACACAAAAUAGUAGCAGAAGGUCUGAACCAGAGCCAAAUGCAACUAUGGUAGGAGUAUGGGACAAAAACUAUUUCCUCGAUGCCAACCCUGCUCAGUGCCAACUGCUGCACUGGAAGGAAACUGCUGCCCAUUUCAAAGACCUAGAAGGGAUUGUACCAUUCCAUUAUGAAGAGGAAGAGUAUGUGGAAGAAGAGGAAUAAUGAGCAAGAUGAAUAAAGGAUAUAAAAGAAGAAAAAAAUGGGAAUUUUGUGCUUAACGAAGAACAGUGGGAGUGGGUGGACAAGGAUGAUGAAGAGCCUCUUUCCUGCACAUGCACACCUGGGACAUUCUUAAAGGGAUAUCCCCUCACACUGCUGUGUGUGUUAAAGGGAGGGAUGUGUUGGCAUCAUCUCCAGGGUGUCAAGCUGUGUUUCUCUAUUGCCAGUCAGGGAGGGUGCUGCAGUCGUCAGGGGCGGGCAACUGUCUGGGCAUCUCAUCUGCAGCUAAUUAACAGCCACACACUAAUUCUAACAGCCGAUCAUAAUUAGCGAUUUAAUCGCUCGUCAACGCUUUACUCCCCCCUUAAAUUGUGCCUCCUAUUUGGACACGUGCGGAUAAGCUAAGGAACGCCGGAACCCCCCUCCCCUUCUCUUCGUCCUUCUUUCCUUCAUCCUUGGCGCCAGACUCCAGUGGGAUCUUAAUUAAGCCUGGGCUUCAUUAUGCAAAUGGAGUACAAUAAACGACAGCAGAGGUGGAGCUGGAUCCAGACUGAAACGGAAUGGUGGGAGGGGAGCAUUGGAAGUGGAAAAUGAAGAGAUGUGGAAGGUUACCAAAAUCGUCUAUAUGAUGUUACUGCGUUACAAUAAUUGCAUAUUGUUGUAAUAUGUAUGUCUUCGGGUGCACCACUACAACAUGUGGUGUGAGAACCAUCAUUUCUCGCUCUGAGGCUCCAUCUCUGUUGUCAUUGGAAAAACUUCUCUGAAAUAACACUGGAUACGCAGAAUGUCAUCUCUCACAAAGCAAAUUCAUAAGGGAAUGGUGACAAUGAACCCCUUAAUAUCACCAGUCGGCCGUUGUCGUGGAUACGAAGAAAGAUGGUAGAGAUAGCAAGAGAGAAAGGAGGCAGACAGAAACACUGACAGUGGCAGCAGCAUGGCAGCUAAUGUCAUCUCAGUUUAAUCAUCGCAUGGGAUCAUGGGGUUCAUGAAAAUUCAUUUGCAUAUCAUUAAAUGGAGAGAGGUUAUUUGGUGCAGGCAGCCAAAAUGGGAUUGGAUAAAGCAAGAAAAAAAAAAGAGGCAAAUGGAGGGGCUCGUUAUUAAACAGCAAUGUUUUAUAGUCCGCCAGCCGAUUCAUUUAAUUUGGGCGUAAUUAAAAUGUGUCAGACUCAAUCAAUCAUUCCAACAGGGAUACUAUCAAUGUUUCAGUCUGAAAAAAGACUAAUCAGUGGAUAUGCGGUCGGACAUUUUCCAAUAACAGUUUAAGUGCUUUAGUCUACUGUGAACUUGACCCAUCCACUCUUUUUUCUAAUUUAUCUGAAGGAGUGUAUCAAAACAUCCAUUGUGACUUCUCUGUAUUGUGUCAAGACAUGUCUGACAGGUGGCGGUGCCACCUCGUGUUAGUCAAUAAGAGGAUAGCUCACACUGUCUUUUUGACCUUAGUAGUAAGCUGUCAGUGGUGUGUAUGCAUGUGCAUGCAUAUGUGCAUUUCUCAUUUGCAUAAGUGAUGUAAUUAGACCGCCCUUUCACAUGCAGAUCAGUUUGACAACAUGGCAAUCACUCCAACACACACAUACAGCCAUACACACAUACACACACAAACACACGCGACAGCACACGCUUACUGCCGUGACCACCCCCAUAUCAUGGGGAGUCUGUUGUCUGUGAGCAGAGAGUGUAAAGAUUAACAUAAUCCAGCUAAUAAGUGUGAGUAAUAUUCACACAGUGACGCGUGGCGUAGACACUGUCCUGCUGAUGCGUAUUUGUAUCUCAUUAUAGAUGUAAAGUACUGAAGGGGGAACAACAGGGGGGGUGCAAGUGUGCAUGGGGGAUGGUGAGGGGGUCACAAAAAAAGUGUGGGUCUGAAUGUAGGGACACCCAAGAAUGACAAUAAACAGCAGUAUUUUUAUAAAGCUGUACUAUCCACCCUUACUAUAGUCUACAGAGUGCAGAUAUAAUAUAAAAAAGAUUACACAGUACCUCAUAACUAGGAUGCUGGAGAUCAGUAUAGGAAGUGUUUCCACAAAAUCAGAAAGACAAUUUCACUUAUUUUUCUGCUUGUUUGCAGUACUAAGAAAGCACAGAGUGUCAGUUUUUGCAGCAGAAUGUAGGAAUUAUAAAUAGAGUGUAUUUGCGCUUGCAGGCUAGCUCUGCCACAUGAUUGAUUAGGAUGGUGUGACGACCAUUAAAAAGUCAUUUAAAAGAUGGAUAGGGACCACAUUUCCAAAUAAAAACCACUUUAUACCUGAUGAAGUGCUGAACAAACUCUCCUUCAAAGACAUUUACUGAUUACUCUCGCUGUGUGAGUGAGUGUAAUGUGGGAAGCACCCGUGUACUCUGUGUAGCUCUGCAUCAGCUGUAGAAGAUACCAAAACAAUCUCCAGGACACAGUCGUGCAGUGGGUGGUGAUGUUCACAUUUUUACAACUAAAAUUAGAUUUCUUUUUUUUUUUUUUAAUUAAAAGAAGCAGCAUGAUUAUUCAUUUGGACAUAGAUGUAAUCUAUCUGCAUACACACAACGUCACACACAAACAGGCCGACGCACUGAUUGAAAUGUAUCUGAUAGCACAGUGUCGCCUCGACUGAAGCCUUAUCCAAAGAAGCAGAGCUGUGUCUAAAUGUGCGAAUGUAUUUCAGCUCUGUCUCUUUAACUCGGGGCUCCACCACGGCAGCAUGCUUUGGGAUUCAUGCAUAAACAUGAGCUGGCCUUUCAGCUCUCUCCUCACAUAACCAAUCUAAAUCUAAAUGAGCCCCCACUACUGAUACACCAGCAGGCAAUGACAUUACACCCCCCCAGCCCCAGCCCAAUCCCCUACUCUACCCUACUACCCCCAGCGACACAUAUACACCAGCAGGCAAUAAUUUCACGCCAUCCCUCAAAGCCCCCCCUCAAAGCCCCCCUCCACCUCCUCUGCACACACACUCGUACCCCUUUUUGCCGCAACCCCAACAGCUGCACAGUACUCAUUUGAUUAAGAGGGGGAGGACAGGGAGAAGGAGAAAUGGUGGGGGAUCACUUUAUCAGGAUGACUUUCUAAGAUGGCUAUCAUCAGCUACGAAGCGAUCUCAGGCCCUCUUCUGUAUUUACUUUGCUAUUGCUCUCCCCAUGUCUGCUUCCUGCAACUCCCAAUCACAAAUAUGUUUCCGCCGUUGUCGCAUUCAUGUGUAAUGGUUAAAUGAAUGGCUUGCUGCAAGAGAACAAGGUGCAGAUACCAGUUUGUGCUUCAACGACACAUUCUUGUAUUGUAGUUUUUCCUCUCUGGCAAGUUGUCUCAUCAACCGCUGGAAAGUUUUACACAAAAAAAGAACAAAACAAUAAAAUCUGCUUUACCAACCUA